rnacentral:lncRNA from 1 species
GCGAGACACUGAGAAAGUUAAUAAGAGAUGUGCGAAUGCCGAGGAGGAUGUCGCAGUUGCUUCUGUUUUUACCAGGUGAAGAAGAGGUCUCAAGAGACCAAGUUAACAGCAAACAGGAAACAGAAUGAGAACUCCUGACUCCUCAUUCUGAGUUUUGUCUGGUAAGCCAUGCUACCCAUAUGUCAAGAGUGUUGAGCAUUUCCUGGUUAAAGGUCUUACUGGCAUUCAGGAGCAGCAUCCUUCCAUUGGAUGCUGGGAAAACAUACAAUGCUACUUACUACACUUGGCCAAGCUUUGUCCUCAGUUCUCUUCGUGUACUUGCCGUGUGGCAAGUCAGCGAGACCAGGAUAUGAGGUUGUCAUCCUGAUCUCUACAAAGGAGGAAGCUAAGGCAAGGGUUAUGAAAGCUGCCCAAGUCCACACAUCCAGUGAGCAACUGCUGCCUUCUCAUGGAAGCCCUCAGCUUGAGAACUGAGCUCUAACUGUUCUGAGACAACGGCAGUAGAUGGAUCUGGUUAUGUUUCCCCAGGGAAGAAGUCACCUUCAAAGGGUGUAGAGGAAGCGUGACCUCUGCUUACACAUAUCAUGGUUUCUGUUGAUUUGAAGUAAAUCCUAUGACCUA